UGGGGAAUUUUGGACAAUGGGGGAAACCCUGAUCCAGCCAUCCCGCGUGUGCGAUGAAGGCCUUCGGGUUGUAAAGCACUUUUGGCAGGAAAGAAACGUCAUGGGUUAAUACCCCGUGAAACUGACGGUACCUGCAGAAUAAGCACCGGCUAACUACGUGCCAGCAGCCGCGGUAAUACGUAGGGGGCAAGCGUUAAUCGGAAUUACUGGGCGUAAAGCGUGCGCAGGCGGUUCGGAAAGAAAGAUGUGAAAUCCCAGAGCUUAACUUUGGAACUGCAUUUUUAACUACCGGGCUAGAGUGUGUCAGAGGGAGGUGGAAUUCCGCGUGUAGCAGUGAAAUGCGUAGAUAUGCGGAGGAACACCGAUGGCGAAGGCAGCCUCCUGGGAUAACACUGACGCUCAUGCACGAAAGCGUGGGGAGCAAACA
rnacentral:rRNA from 1 species